CAGCCGCCACGGGAAUACGAGGGGGGCAAGCGUUGUUCGGAAUUAUUGGGCGUAAAGGGUGCGUAGGCGGUUUCGCAAGUCUUGUGUGAAAUCUAUGGGCUCAACCCAUAGUCUGCACAGGAAACUGCGAGGCUUGAGGAUGGGAGAGGUGAGUGGAAUUUCCGGUGUAGCGGUGAAAUGCGUAGAUAUCGGAAGGAACGCCUGUGGCGAAAGCGGCUCACUGGACCAUUUCUGACGCUGAUGCACGAAAGCUAGGGGAGCAAACAGGAUUAGAUACCCGCGUAGUCCCUGUCUAUUAUAC
rnacentral:rRNA from 1 species